GCUAAACAGCUAGCUUAAUUACCACACUAAAUUAAUAAUAUAUAUAAAUUAGCAAAACCUAAAAUUAAUAACCAAACCAUUUUUCCACCUAAGUACGGGAGACGAAAAAGGUCCCAUGAGCAAUAGAAAAAGUACCGCAAGGGAAAGCUGAAAGAGCAAUGAAAUAAGUCAUACAAGCACAAAAAAGCAGAGACUAGCACUCGUACCUUUUGCAUCAUGAUUUAGCAAGAACCCAACAAGCAAAGAGACCUUUAGUUUGUUACCCCGAAACCAAGUGAGCUACCCCGGGACAGCCUAAAAGGGCCAACCCGUCUCUGUGGCAAAAGAGUGGGAAGAGCCCCGGGUAGAGGUGACAGACCUACCGAACUUGGUGAUAGCUGGUUGCCUAAGAAAUGAAUAGAAGUUCAGCCUCGUGCUCCCUUUAAUCAAAUAAGUAAUAUCUACUAUAGAAAAUAAGAAAAACAUGAGAGUUAGUUAAAGAGGGUACAGCCCCUUUGACCAAGGAUACAACUUUAAUAGGAGGAUAGGGAUUAUAAUUAAAAAAAUUAUUGUUUCAGUGGGCCUAAAAGCAGCCACCUGCACAGAAAGCGUUAAAGCUCAGACAAUACGAAAUUUAUUAUUUCAAUAGUCCAUCCCACUCCCCUACUUAUACUGGGCCGCCCCAUGACAUCAUGGGAGAGAUUAUGCUAAAAUGAGUAACAAGAGACAACACUUCUCUCCAAGCACAAGUGUAAGCCAGCCCGGAUGAACCACUGGCAAUUAACGAACCCAAUAAAAGAGGGCAAUGUAGCCAAUAUAAGACACAAGAAAAUUGUACAAUAUAUAAUCGUUAAACCCACACUGGAGUGCCUCAAGGAAAGACUAAAAAAAAGGGAAGGAACUCGGCAAACCCAAGCCUCGCCUGUUUACCAAAAACAUCGCCUCCUGCAAAAUUCAAGGUAUAGGAGGUCCAGCCUGCCCAGUGACCACAAGUUCAACGGCCGCGGUAUUUUGACCGUGCAAAGGUAGCGCAAUCACUUGUCUUUUAAAUGAAGACCUGUAUGAAUGGCCAAACGAGGGCUUAGCUGUCUCCCCUUUUAAGUCAGUGAAAUUGAUCUGCCCGUGCAGAAGCGGACAUACAUAUACAAGACGAGAAGACCCUUUGGAGCUUAAGGUUCAACCCCAACCGCGUCAAACAACUUUAUAAAUAAGGAAUAAACCUAGCGGAAAAUGGGACUUUACCUUCGGUUGGGGCGACCACGGAGAAAAAAUCAUCCUCCGAGUGGACUGGGCCAACAAGCCUAAAACUAAGAAAGACAUUUCUAAGCCACAGAAAAUCUGACCAGCAAUGAUCCGGCCUGUAGGCCGAUCAACGGACCAAGUUACCCUAGGGAUAACAGCGCAAUCCUCUCCCAGAGUCCAUAUCGACGAGGGGGUUUACGACCUCGAUGUUGGAUCAGGACAUCCUAAUGGUGCAGCCGCUAUUAAGGGUUCGUUUGUUCAACGAUUAAAGUCCUACGUGAUCUGAGUUCAGACCGGAGCAAUCCAGGUCAGUUUCUAUCUGUAACGUCACUUUUCCUAGUACGAAAGGACCGGAAAAGAGAGGCCCAUGCCAAAAGUAUGCCUCACCCCUAAUUAAUGAAAACAACUCAAUUAAAUAAAUGGAGGACCCACAAUUUGAGCAAAGAUAAAGCCAC
rnacentral:rRNA from 1 species